CAUCCAUGCUAUAUAAUAUAUACCUGGAAGGUUUUUUUUUAGGGGGAAAAUCAUGAAAAAUGUGAAAAUAUAUUAGAUUCACAACCCAUAAUUAUAAAAUAUACAAUAUUUUCAGUAAAUAAAAAGUUAAACUCAUCAAAUAUAAAUCCUGAAUCAUGUCGAUGUCGAUGGAAGAGCAUACAUUGGACCUUUUCACAUUUAUCAAUAUUUAUUCAUCUUUCGAAGUCCAAUAUACUUCUUUCCGUUUAAAUUUAUUUAUCAUACUUUUUCUUUAUAGUCUGUUUAAG
rnacentral:misc_RNA from 1 species